GGGCCUGUAGCUCAGCGGUGAGAGCACCAGUCUUAUACACUGGGUGUCCUUGGUUCAAAUCCAAGCAGGCCUA
rnacentral:tRNA from 1 species